UACGUAGGGGGCAAGCGUUGUCCGGAAUUAUUGGGCGUAAAGAGCUCGUAGGCGGUGUGUCGCGUCGGCCGUGAAAACCUGCAGCUUAACUGUGGGCUUGCGGUCGAUACGGGCAGACUAGAGUUCGGUAGGGGAGGACUGGAAUUCCGUGGUGGUAGCGGUGGAAAUGCGCAGUAUAAUCAGGAGGAACACCGGUGGCGAAGGCGGCUCUCGUCGGGAACGGUACUGACGCUGAGACGCGAAAGCGUGGGGAG
rnacentral:rRNA from 1 species